CUCUGCUUUGUAGUAUUCUGAUUUCAGUAGCUCAGCAGCACCAUUUUGCACUCUUAAAUUCUUUCUUGCUUUUUAGCAAACAUUAGAAAUCACCCAGUUCUCUCAGUUACACUGGAGUCAUGGAAAUAAUUGUGGGAUCUCAACAUACCAAGAGUAAAAACAUUAAUUAAGGAAAGUUAUCAGCAACUAAAAAUAAUGUAAGAAUUGUAUCAGACUAGACUGAUAGUACAUAAGGAUAAUCUUAACUGUAUAUAUAUGUAUAUAUAUGUAAUGUAUAUAAUGUUUGGAUUGCUGCAAUGAUUUAUACCCACACUCUUCAAAAUACUUCACUAUAUAGUCUGAUUUUGAAUACAUCUAUGAGAUACUAUUUCUGUUAUUUCUUUUAUGGAUCUAUUACAUCACAAUGACCCUGGAAACACAAAAUGUCUCUCCAGUCACUGUGGGAGGAAUGGGUGAAUGAUGAAGAUUCCAUGCAGUCCAGCCUGUUUUUCCAAAGAAAAUGAUGCAUAGCUCUACUGAGAACUUGCGGAGUGCUGCAUGGUGUAGUGGAGAGCUUGCACUUCAGGAGAAAGUUCUGGGAGGUAAUACAUUUCAACCCUGAGGGACCAGCCUUAAAUCCUGUGGGGGCAGAAACUGAUUUCAUCUUUUGGAUGCCAAGGAGAGGAUACAGAAGCUGACUACUAGAGAUAUCAGCAAUUGCAGCACAACUGAGUGGACCAUUGAAAACGAAGCAGCAAGAUGCACUGUGUGAGGAGGUGUUUUCACUGACCAUAGCUACAAAUCCAGCAUUUUGGCAGUUUCUGCAGGAGAAUCUUUCCACUUCCUGCCUAUGGAAGUCUUGAAAUUCCUCAUCUUGUGCUGUUGUAACUGCAGGAAAGUUUCCACUCAACACGUUGGAAAGAAAUAGAAAGCUUUGCAGUUAGCUAGUGAUGAAAACUGGUUUAAAAAUCUGUUCCUG